AUUGAACGCUAGCGGGAUGCUUUACACAUGCAAGUCGAACGGCAGCGCGGACUUCGGUCUGGCGGCGAGUGGCGAACGGGUGAGUAAUGUAUCGGAACGUGCCCAGUAGCGGGGGAUAACUACGCGAAAUCGUAGCUAAUACCGCAUACGCCCUACGGGGGAAAGCAGGGGAUCGUAAGACCUUGCACUAUUGGAUCGGCCGAUAUCGGAUUAGCUAGUUGGUGAGGUAACGGCUCACCAAGGCGACGAUCCGUAGCUGGUUUGAGAGGACGAACAGCCACACUGGGACUGAGACACGGCCCAGACUCCGACGGGAGGCAGCAGUGGGGAAUUUUGGACAAUGGGGGCAACCCUGAUCCAGCCCUCCCGCGUGUGCGAUGAAGGCCUUCGGGUUGUAAAGCACUUUUGGCAGGAAAGAAACGUCGCGGGCUAAUACCCCGUGGAACUGACGGUACCUGCAGAAUAAGCACCGGCUAACUCCGUG
rnacentral:rRNA from 1 species